GACGAACGCUGGCGGCGUGCUUAACGCAUGCAAGUCGAACGGAAAGGCCCUGCUUUUGUGUGGUGCUCGAUUGGCGAACGGGUGUGUAACACGUGAGUAACCUGCCCUUGACUUUGGGAUAACUUCAGGAAACUGGGGCUAAUACCGGAUAGGAGCUCCUGCUGCAUUGUGGGGGUUGGAAAGUUUCGGCGGUUGGGGAUGGACUCGCGGCUUAUCAGCUUGUUGGUGGGGUAGUGGCUUACCAAGGCUUUGACGGGUAGCCGGCCUGAGAGGGUUCCCGGCCACAUGGGGACUGAGAGACGGCGCGGGCUUCAACGGGGGGCAGGAGGGGGGAAUAUGGCAGAAUGAGCAGAAGACAGAGGCAGCGACGACGCGUGCGGGAUGAAGGCGUAAGGGUUGUAGCCAGCUUUGGAAUGUGAAGGAGCGUGAGUGACGGUAAUGGGUAAAGAAGCACCGGCUAACUACGUG
rnacentral:rRNA from 1 species